rnacentral:rRNA from 1 species
UACAGAGGGUGCAAGCGUUGUUCGGAAUUAUUGGGCGUAAAGCGCGUGUAGGCGGCUUUGCAAGUCGGGUGUGAAAGCCCUCAGCUCAACUGAGGAAGUGCGCCCGAAACUGCAGAGCUUGAGUGCCGGAGAGGGUGGCGGAAUUCCCCAAGUAGAGGUGAAAUUCGUAGAUAUGGGGAGGAACACCAGUGGCGAAGGCGGCCACCUGGACGGUAACUGACGCUGAGACGCGAAAGCGUGGGGAGCAAACAGG